rnacentral:snRNA from 1 species
GGAUGUGAGGGUGAUCUGGCUGCAACAUCUAUCACCCAUUGAUCUCCAGGGUUGACUCAGUUGAUCUGGCUGCUAGGUGGUUGUCCCCUUCCUCUCUCAGUACUCCAUGUGCCUCCCUCGCAAAGCUGCACCCCAGGUGGAAGAGGACUACCUUCCCCAAAUCUAAGAGGAGCACUGGUCUUUGGUCAGGGCUUUAUGAGUAGCUGCGCUUCCCUGCUAGAACCUCCAAAUGAGCUCUCAGUGUAUAAACUGAUCAAUAAAACUAGUAAAUGAAGGCAAGAGAGAUAGCUCGGAUAUUAAAGGCCCUUACUUACAAAGCCUGCUAGCUCAGGUA